AAGAAAUUGUGGGUACUGUAGGAGUUGCUGCAAGCUUCAAUGUCUCCAAUCGACAGCACAUACUUUCAUUUGUUUAAACUACAACAGUUUGUUUAGUUCCAGCCAAGAAAGUGAAAAUUUAGGUAUUUUUGACAGAUCUAGACAGACUAUCUCGACAAAGUUAAAGUUACAGCCUUCUCUCUUGGUGUAAGAGAAAGAGUUUUUGAGCGAGUGAGAGAAAGCGAGAACUUUCAUCUUCUUGCAUCUCCAAAUCCUAUAUCUUCUCUCUCCGUUUUUUUUUCAUGGAAAAAUACAAAAAAAAAAAA